UAAGGAAUAUGUGACAGCAUAAGAGAUGC
rnacentral:piRNA from 1 species